AAACUAUCAGCAGUUUGGUGCUACUGGAGUGUCAAGUGCAAGGAAGAAAGUGGGGGAUGAAGCUAGAGAAAUUCACGCAGGCAUUUAAUGAAGUAUCUCAAACAGGCUCCAGGGCCACCGACCAAGCCUAAGAAGACCUGGAACAGGAGGCCAGAACCAGUCCUACUCUGCACAUCAGCACCACCAGUCUCUCUUGCUCUGUCUCUUGGUCCUUUUUUCCUGGUGCUGGUGGGUGGUAUUGGAUCUGUCAUUUCUCUCCUUGGAGGCAAGUAUCUGAGACUCAAGUGUGCCCACUGAGAAGAUAAGGAACCAGGCAGACUGUGGGAGUUGCCCUGGUUCUGGGCUCUACACUGACUCUGGCCUGGGCCUGACAAAAGGAGUUUUCUACUGCACUGGUUUUGCUCGGUUGAGAUCUGCACUAGGGUUUGCUCUUCUUUGCUUCGUCUACAUGUAUCAGAUGAGGUCAUCAGGAUGGUGUCCUCAGAGGGGAUUAGUGCCUUUAUAAUAAGAAAAACUGGAGGAUUGGAGCUCUCUCUCUCUCUCUCUGUCUCCCUCUCCCUCUCCCUCUUCCUCUCCCUGUCUCUCUCCACCUCUCUCUUUCUCUACUAUGUGAAGACACAGCAAGAAGACAGCUGCCUGCAAGCCAGGAAGAGAGCCCUCACCAGGAACGAAAUAGCCUAGCACCUUGAUUUUGGACUUCCCAGGCUCCAGUAUGCCUCCCAAGAGGAGAAAGAGUCGCAGAAUUUCUCCAUGAAGGUUACAUUCUUGGAAGGCCUGGGCUUUUCUGAGCCAGUGCUACUGCAAUAACAUUUACCACAUCAAUUUUGGAAAGGAAGAAGCACAGGAAGCUGGUCCAGGCAGAAGGCAGAAAACUUGGGAGCUUCUCUGAUUUAAUCUUUUCUUCUUUAUUUUUAAAAAUCCACUUUGCAAAGAUAUAUGGUCUCCAAGUUUCUGAAAAGGGAAGCAGCAAAGAAACUCCUUCUGCUGUGAAUGAAAAGAAUUACAUAAACCACAGUAAAUUUAGUAUGAAAUUACAUUGCCAGCCCCAGAGGAGAAAGAUGCAUUUCCAUCAUACAUUAGCCAUGCUCAAGGAGCCAUUAUCCUGAGUUCCCUGUCUGCCUGCACUUGAAGGGACAUGGUGGCAUGCAGGUCAGGCCCUUCUCAGAGGAUGGAAGCUGCUGGAAGACAUUAAUUAUUUGACCUUGUUUAAAGCAUUGAUUUUACAGAAUUUCUUCCUUGUAUUUAUACUUGUCUUUUCUUUACUUUUUAAACUGGGACUUGGGCUCCUGCUGAUUCUUAGGCUCCAUUAGGUCAGAAUUUCA
rnacentral:lncRNA from 10 species